GCGCAUUGGUCAAGCUGGGUGAUUGACACGUCUAUAGAACCGUCAGAGCCAGUAGAAUCGACGGACAGCAUCACGGACACCAUUCGCUAUCUGUGAGGGGGCGAACCCACUGUGACGCGUUUUUCCCCCGACGCCAUUUGACAUGCGACUUCCGCAUGUGUAGUCGGAGUAGGAGGAGCAGGCGUUGAUUAACAUCUUGAAAUGACGAGCGGUCUUUGUGCUAAACCAACGGAAUUGGAUUUAUGGAUCAAGACACAACUUUUCCUGCAAAUACUUCGACGGCGUGAUCUUCAGGCGGAAUCUGUGAAAUGAGGAUGCGACCAUGACAACAACCGAGCUGAGAAUGGUGAUGAGGUUUUGUUCAUGGCAUAAUGCAGAGCUAGGCAUCAACAAAUACAAGGGACCUGUCAUUAUCUAAAACACCGCAUUUCCCCUGAGGUUCUCGGAAAAG